rnacentral:rRNA from 1 species
CCUACGGGCGGCAGCAGUCGAGAAUCAUUCACAAUGGGGGAAACCCUGAUGGUGCGACGCCGCGUGGGGGAAUGAAGGUCUUCGGAUUGUAAACCCCUGUCAUGUGGGAGCAAAUUAAAAAGAUAGUACCACAAGAGGAAGAGACGGCUAACUCUGUGCCAGCAGCCGCGGUAAUACAGAGGUCCCAAGCGUUGUUCGGAAUCACUGGGCGUAAGGCGUGCGUAGGCUGUUUCGUAAGUCGUGUGUGAAAGGCGCGGGCUCAACCCGCGGACGGCACAUGAUACUGCGAGACUAGAGUAAUGGAGGGGGAACCGGAAUUCUCGGUGUAGCAGUGAAAUGCGUAGAUAUCGGGAGGAACACUCGUGGCGAAGGCGGGUUCCUGGACAUUAACUGACGCUGAGGCACGAAGGCCAGGGGAGCGAAAGGGAUUAGAUACCCGGGUAGUC